rnacentral:lncRNA from 1 species
GUUUGCCACUCGUAGCUUUCUUGUUUUCAACAAGAGGAUUUUCCACUAUCUGCUCCAAAUGCUGCAAGUUCUCCUCUAGCAGGGAGCAGAGCUUCCAGGCAUUAUGAUCUGUCCUGCCUGUCUGGAUGGAACUUCUGCUCCAUACUAUUGAGGCAAGGUACACAGAAGCUUUCUGUGAGGGGAGACACCUAGAAUCAAGUUCUAUACCAACGGGUUCUGUGACCUGGGCCCAUCCCCGAAGCUGAGAACUCUUGGUCUCCUUAUAUUCAAAUGGAGGCGCUACAUCUAGAUAGGCUGAAAAAGUCUCUCUUACUCUAACCUUUAAUUAUCUACUCUUUCCCAUGCUUGUUAUUUCUUAACUUUGCACUUUCAAAACACAAAUAAAAUUUUUGCAUGAU